GGCAGGCACGGGGCACAUGGCUGGCAGCAUGGACAGGUUGGAAUAGAUGAGUAUCUGUCCAGGUGUGAUGCUUUAAAAUUAUUAAUAAAUAUAUCAGGUCUCCAUGUCAUUAUUCAGAUACAAGGAAGGAUGUAAAAAGCCCUGGCCUUUUACAGGGGCUGCUUCUCCAGAAGUCAGAGACUCACAGUGAAUUACCACGUCCGCCCCAGGGCGCAGAAUAGGGAGGUCACACCCAUGCAUUCCCACCUGGUGCAGUGUUGGCCCUGGAAAACCUUUCAGUUCACUGCUGUCUACCAGGGCAGUGGUGUUGAGGACAAGGAGCAGAGCACGGAUUUCCCUUGUCCCAGGAGCAGUUGUCCAAGGUGCAGAAAAGAUCCCCUGUCAUAGUCUCUGCGGCGCUCGUGGCCUCCUCAGGCUACCAGUCCUCUGGUAGGGAGAGGAAUGGACGCAGCAGACUCUGUCCCCAUAUUUGUCUUUACUCGAAGCAUUUCUCAAUAACAAGUGCAAAAGGAGGACUGUAAAUAAAAC
rnacentral:lncRNA from 1 species